CUGGUUCCGGUUCACGUGGGCGUCGUACGACGUCGACGACCCGGCGACC
ncrna:unclassified sequences L31-Actinobacteria ribosomal protein leader